UUAGGUCCUUGAUCUUUGAUCAUGUCAAAGGCAUUCCAUUGGAGUGUCCACGACAUUGUUGGGGUCAAGCUAUCUACUCAUGUAGGCAUAUGAAUGUACAACAAGGGAUCUCUAACCUUCCAUGGUGGAAGGAGAAUACUCUAAGAUAUGAUUCGGAAGUUUUUGGCCAAAGCGUAUGAAUAUGACUUAGGAAGUUUUUUCCAAAUCAUAUUCAAUCGAAUCAUAUAGAGAAGUAUCACAUUGGAUAGUAGACAUGAAACAAACUAUCAUUCAAACAAUGUGAUUAAGAGUAUUGUAUUAGAAAAGGACAGUAUUGCAUUGUAAUUGUAACUGGAUAGGUUCUCCAACCACUUAUACUUAGCUUGGGUAACCAUGACAUACUGCUAGGUGUCACUCAUGGUUUGUGGAAGCCCUAAUGAUUAGCAAACACUAAUUUCAAGGGAGAAUUGAAAUGUGGUUUCAAUUCACAAUCAAUCGUUAAGAGUAACAAUCGCCCACUGCCUCGCUAAUUGGAACCUAAUGGAUCGUACACCGAGUAAGGGUGAAAGUGAAGAAAUAUAAAUGAGAUGGAUAAGCAAUUAAAUGGGUUAAUUGAGAAUGGUCAAGAUUAAUUAAUUAGUUAAUUAAUUUUACGAAAGGUUCGUAUAGGGCUUUUAAGUUGGUUUUGGGCUUCGGGGCUCAAAAGCGUUUUAGUCCACAAGGCCCAUUAUGUUCAAGUUGUAUGACAACUAAAACAAAAUGGGCAAUUAAGCCAAUAACAAAGGUAAGGCCGGCCAUAAGGGUGAGGGUAGCAAACUUGGAUUAAUUACAAGUUUGCCACUCACUUGAAAUGAAGUAUAAAAGGAACUUUAUAGCUUCAUUUCUCAUUAGGGUUUUUCUUGGUGAAAUGAGGUGAAACACUUUCUCUCUAUUUCUCUAAAGAG
rnacentral:lncRNA from 1 species